AACCCUUAAAAUUUUUUGAAAUCAAACCCCAAACUCUAGAGACCCCUUUCAUUCCCUCAUCUCUUUCACUCUGCAAAUCCGCCGCCGAAAAUUGCCUCGUGGCGGCAGCCCGUCACCAAAUCACCCUAAUAAUUUAUCACAUAAUUUCUAACACUCCCUUAUCAUUAAUCUACCAUCAAUUUUGUCCAAAAGCCCCAUCAAACUUCUCGAAUUACACAUCUAGAAACCGGAACCCUAAACCACUUUUCAACUUUUAAUGUCUGAUUAGACUUGGGCUCAUAUUAUUAUGAUACUUAUAUCCAACGAUUGAUUUCGUUGAAACCUUUCGAUUGAUAUUAAGAUUAUAGUAUUUCGCAUUUGUGGGGUUUUGGUCAAUUGAUUGUUGACAUCUAUUUCUCUUUCAAAACUCUCAGCUCUGCUCAAAAUCCGGCUCCUGACUAGCAUUAUGACAUAUAUCAUUG
rnacentral:lncRNA from 1 species